CUACGGGCUGCUGCAGUGGGGAAUAUUGCACAAUGGGCGCAAGCCUGAUGCAGCCAUGCCGCGUGUAUGAAGAAGGCCUUCGGGUUGUAAAGUACUUUCAGCGGGGAGGAAGGGAGUGAAGUUAAUACCUUUGCUCAUUGACGUUACCCGCAGAAGAAGCACCGGCUAACUCCGUGCCAGCAGCCGCGGUAAUACGGAGGGUGCAAGCGUUAAUCGGAAUUACUGGGCGUAAAGCGCACGCAGGCGGUUUGUUAAGUCAGAUGUGAAAUCCCCGGGCUCAACCUGGGAACUGCAUCUGAUACUGGCAAGCUUGAGUCUCGUAGAGGGGGGUAGAAUUCCAGGUGUAGCGGUGAAAUGCGUAGAGAUCUGGAGGAAUACCGGUGGCGAAGGCGGCCCCCUGGACGAAGACUGACGCUCAGGUGCGAAAGCGUAGGGAGCAAACAGGAUUAGAUACCCCAGUAGUC
rnacentral:rRNA from 1 species